UGGGUUGCCAAGCUGGUAUGUUCCAGAGCCUAAAAUAACCUAUACAAGCAGAGAGAGAGAGCAAGAGGGCCAGAGGGGCAAGGGGACUGCGCACACAGAUCACCACAGCCGCUGUAGAGGGUUGGGAUCAACUGUUCUGGGCUCCAUAAGCCCCUUUACCUCAAAAGGAAGUGAGGUUUGAAUACUUGGAGAAACGCUGGAGAACUUCACCACGCAGCAACACGCGGGUUCCCGUGCUCCCCACUCCCACUUCCUCUGGCCUUUCUUCUCCCGCUUCUUUGAAAUGCACCCGCAGCGGCCCCUGCCCCAGGCCAUGCCCUCCUCACUGGGGCAGAACCUGAGGGACGCCGCUCUCGGCUUUGGACGGGGCAAGAACCUGCUGGGAGGGAACAUCGCCUACGGGGUCAUCCAGUCUCUGAAAGAGUGCCUCUACUUUUUGCUUUGCUGCUGGUGCAUCAAGGAGAUCCUGGACUGAGGCACGAGAGGCAGCAGGGCGGGGUAAGCUGGAGAAGUUAUUACAGUAGUAUUAGUUGAAAAUGGCAUCUGUAAUCCCUGGGCCCUCUGAAUCGUUCAGGGUUUCCCCACCCUGGGGUACCUAUGAUUGGAGAUAUGAGAAAUGGAGGGAUGUCUCACUUUGUAUGCUGUUUGCCUUUUGGCUUUGGAGCCUGAUGGUGCGCUGAGGAGCCUGCUGUUGGAGUGUCCAUGACGUUUUGAAGUAGAAGAGCUGGACAGCAGAUGCAGUAAGGAUAAAGGCCUCGGCAUGUCCAUGAUUCCAAAGGGCCCUGAGCCAAGACACAGAGCACUGGUCCCUGAGGGCGAAAAGCCAAACGACCUGCAGUGAAACUGAAAUUCAGCGUAGUGCAUCAAAACAAUGCACAUACGUAAUGUAGCUCAACCUGAUGCUUGGGUUCAAAUAAU